GCCUGGCUGGCUCAGUCAGUGGAGUAUAUGGCUUUUGAUCUUGGGGUUGUGAGUUCAAGCCCCACGUUGGGUA
rnacentral:tRNA from 1 species